AAAGCAAUGAAAAAAACAGGUGUCCAAGAAACCCUAUUUAACACCAUCUGGCUGGGUGAUAAAAGGCAACAUAAAUACCUUUCAUUGGAUUGGAAUUUUGCAAUUCUCAAGUGAUUUAAUAUAUAUUCUAACAUUUAGUUGCAACUUUUUGAGAGUGAUGCAAGUUAUUUUUAACUCUAUUUUAUAAAUGACUGAAUGUAAAAGAGGUGAAGUCUCACUUUAAUAAGUUGGCCUUUUCUAUGGAUGGAUUUUAUCCCUACCCAAGUCCUCUAUCCAUCAGGAACACAGCUUUAAUUUCUGAUCAGUUCAGUGUAGAAACAAUGAGCCCUUGGAGACCUAAGUCAUGAGUUCAACUAAUGAUUUGUCUACAAUUUUUCUCAGCCCAUUCCUUGAUUUUCUAACCUUCUGAAUCAUGAUUUAGAUCAUUGGUUCUCAAGUGAGGCUAUUUUUGGUUGUCCCAGCAGUGACAGUGAGGGGUGCUACUAGCAUCAACGAGGUCGUUUUCAGAGGGAAUUGUUGCACCUGUAGCUGUAGACUUGGUAUGUUCAUACAAGGAGGUGAAUUCAGGAUCUUCCUAUGCUGUCAUCUUGGACUGCCCAGAUCACGAGGACAAGUGUCUUGGAUUACAUGGAUGUCCAGUAUUACCACCUCAGUGACGUCAUCCUGGUUCAUGCCAUCAAGAUUCUCAAUGACUGUAAAAGACUUGGAACUGUGUUCUCAAAUUCUCACCUUAGGACCUAUCGUCUCUUCUCCUUUCAAGUUCGCUGGUGGCAGAGGUCUGUUUAGAUGAAAGAUGACAGAGAAUUAGGCUUAUUUAUUUAAGUGUGAGCAGAGGAGUGGCAGAGAGGGAGACAGAAUCCCAAGCAGGCUCUGCCCUGCCAGCACAGAACUCAAUAUGGGGCUUGAACUCAUGAAACUAUGAAAUCAUGUCCUGAGUUGAAACCAAGAGCUGGAUGCCCAACUGACUGAGCCACCCAGGUGCCCCGAAACUAUACAACUUAUAAAAGAAGACAUAGGCUGUAAGGACCUGGAUAUCAGUCUCAGUGAUGAUUUUUCAGUUGUGAAAUAAAAAGCAAAGGAAACAAAAGCAAAAAUAAACAAGUGGGACUGCCUCAGACUGAAAUCUUUCUGCAGAGUGAAGGAAAGCAUCAACAAAAUGAAAAUGCAUCCUAUGAAGUAGGAGAAAAUAUCUGAAAAUUGUAUCCAAGAAGGUCUUAAUAUCCAAAAAUACAUAAAGAACUUAUACAUCAGUUGGGAAAAAAUAAACUGAUUAAAAAAUGGGCAGAGGGACCGAGUAGAUGUUUUUCCAAAGAGAACAUACAAAUAGAUAACAGGUAGAUGAAAAGACACUCAACAUCACUAAUUACCAAGAAAAGGAAAUCAAAACCACAAUGAUCUCACAUGAUCUCACACCUAUUAGGAUGGCUAUUAUCAAAAAGAUGAGAAGUAACUAAUGUUGAAGAGGAGGUGGUGAAAAGGAAACCCUUGUGCACUGUUGAGGGGAAUGUAAAUUGGUGUAGUCACUAUGGAAUAAAGUAUGGAGUUCCCAUUAAAAAUUAAAAUAGAACUACUAUAUGAUCCAGAAAUUCCACUUCGGUGUAUUUAUCUGAAGGAAAUGAAAGCACUAACUCAAAAAGAUAUAUGCCCUGCCAUAGUUAUUACAGCAUUAUUUACAAAAGCCAAGACAUGGAAACAACCUAAGUGUCCAUCAAUGGAUGAAUGGAUAAAAAAUGUGAUAUGUAUUUAUAGUGGACCUUACAUAUAUAUUUACACACACACACACACACACACACACACACACACAUAACUGAAUAUUAUGUAGCCAUAAAAAACAAUCUCUGAUACUAUAGAUGGGCCAUGAUGACUUUAUGCUAAGUGAAACAAGCGAGAGAAAACCAAACUGUAAGAUCUCAUUUAUAUAUGCAAUCUAAAACAAAACACCUCAUAGAGAACAGAUUGGUGGUGGCCAGAAGAAGGGGAUGGGGGUGGGCAGAAUGGGUGAAAGGGGUCAAAAGAUAUAAACUUCCAACUGUAAAUUAAAGGUUGUGGAUGUAAUGUACAGCAUAGUGUCUAUAGUUAAUAUUGUAUUGUAUAUUUGAAAGUUGCUGUGAGAAUAAAAUUUGAAAGUUCUCAUCACAAGAACUGUGUAGUAAUGCAUAUUACCUCGAAUUAUUGUAGUGAUUAUUUCACAGUAUAUAAAUAUUAAAACGUUAUUUUGUACACUUGAAACUAAUGUUAUAUGUUAAUUAUACCACAGUAAAAGAAAAGGAAUAGGGGCGUCUGGGCGUCUCAGUUGGUUUAGAGUCCACCUUUAGCUCAGAUUAUGAUUUUAUGGUUUGUGAGUUUGAGCCCCACCUCAGGCUCUGUGCUGAUAGCUGGGAGCCUGCUUCAGAUCUUCUGUCUCCCUCUUUCUCUCCUCCUCUCCUGCUUGCACAUGCUCUCUCUCCAAAAUAAAUAAAAUUAAAGAAAAAAUAAUAAUACAUACACUGACUUGGACUCAUCCAUUUGAAAUCAUCGUUCUACAAUUUUAAAGGAAGUUAAUGAAAACCUAGGUUAUAGUUUAUUUCAAUUGUACAAUUUUCUAUAUAUUUAAAUGUAAACCAGAUGCUCCUUAACCUAUAUAGACUUAUAUUCCAUAUAGUAAUGAAUUUAACUUAAAUUCAACUGACCCAAAGUGACAGGCUCUACUCCCUCUUAAUCAUUAAACCCUAAAGCAAACAUUGAAUGACAAUAUUUAAAAUUAUUGUUGUUUUUAAAUGGAAAGCCCUUUCCAAAUUAGGUGAUCAUCCAAAAACAAACCUAGAGCGUAUUACUCGAUAAGAUUUAAAGCCACUUUAAAUGAUCACUGGAGGAAAAAAGUGUGCAUCAAUUUUCAAGGUUCUAAAAGGUAAAUUAAUUCCUAUCUUGGCAUUUAUUCUGAAGAAUCCCUAUGUUAAGAAAAUUAUUUUAUCCUAAGUUUACAUGUUAUAUCAGACCAAGAAUGUUUAUUUUUUAAGUUAAAUUUUUAUAGUAGAAAUAUUUCUUAGGUUUUCCUCAUUCUAUCAGUUUAAUUAAGAACACUAAAUAAUUAUGUUGUCACCUAAGAUACUUAAAUUUGAAAGGCUAACAACAUGAUUUACCCUAUGUCCUCUUUUUAAUAAGGGUCCUUAUUUCUAAGCAUCCAUGCUUUGAUUUUCAGCAUUUUAAUUUGCAAAAGUCACUACGGGAGGUUUGUGUACAGAGAGAUUGUGUCCUUUUAUAAUGUUGACAUUAUGUUUUAAAUUUUUAAUGUAGGUUUGCAGUAACUCAGUUUGAAAAUUGGAUGAAAUCAACGCUCCCACAAACUAAAUUUUUCAUUAACUUAGUGGAAAGCCUAAGGAUGUCUAUAGUUGCUAAUAUACAGUUACAUUUUCCUAUUUAUCUAUUCAAACAGUUCCAGAAAAGGUGAGAUUGAAUUUUAACAGUGGUUGGGAUGCUAUAGAUAUCUAUCACUAGAAGGAUAAAAUAGUCUUUGCAAUGAUUUUACUGCAAGCCAAGAAGAGCAAUCAGAAAUAUUAUGACAGAAAGUGAGUGCUGUUAGACAUAGGUCUUUUUUUUUUAAUGUUUAU